rnacentral:piRNA from 1 species
UAGGAUAUUCUGGGAGCUGUCUGAGCCUU